CACACAGCGAUUUGCAAGUGAAUGCGAGGGGAGGGCGCAUCCAAGACGAGAGCUGUGGAUGAAAGGCUUCCCCUCCCCCGCAGGGCAGAAAGACUCUCUGUUUCAAGGCUAAGAAAUUUGAAUUUCAUGCCCAAAUGUGUGUGGGGGCGAUAUCAGGACAUGAUCUCAAGGUUUUUGAGUCUGAGUCCAGCCUAGAUCUCCAAGCUGACAGCACUGGAGACUGCUUGAGAUUCUCUCUCCCUCUCCCUCUCUCUCUCUCUCUGCCCUUUCCUGCCCAUCGUCUCUCUCUCUCUCUCUCUCUCUCUCUCUCAAAAUACACAAAUACACUUUAAAAAAAUAGAAAAUAUUUCUGCUCAACAAAAUGAUAUUUAGAGCAGAAAAAGAUUUUCGAAUCUUGAUGUCACAUACGAGGGCACUAAACUCUGGAAAAUUGUAAUGUGUGUGAUAAUCGAGUUAGAAUUCUUAACCUGAUCUCUGGCUUACCCAUAGUUUUUUCAACAGAAUGCUUUAACGUUAGAGUCAGGUAAAAAUAAGUACUCCAAUUUUUUUCCUGUAAUGCAUUUGUUAAUAUACAUUAAUAUACAUGUGUGUCUUCAAUAUAAUACUGCCAUUGACAUAUUAAAGUUAGUUGUCAAGAGAAAUUGUAGAAUCUCAUACUGUUUGUAUGUUAUACAGUCUUUAAUUAAGUGCAGGAGGGAUGAUGGACACACACAUGAUGGCCUCUUUUUGCAUGCUUGUUUCUUGUUAGUUUUAGAGUAAAUGACUGCAUAUGUGAUGAGUUAUUUGGAUUACAUUUAAAUGGGUCCAAUUUAAAAAAAUAACCAAAGGCUGAAAUCAGAUGUGAAAUGCUAUUUUAUUCAUGAAAAUAUAUGAUGUGAUGAUAUAUUCCUAAAAUAAUAGUUUCUCAACAAGACAGAAGUUUGUUCUUCUCUUACAUAAAUUUCUGAGUUGGUAUCAUUGCCCUGCUCUGUGUAGUCAUCAGAAACUCAGAUUGUCUUCAUGCUCAACCAUUAUUAAGGAAUUGAAUUCAUAUGUAUGACCCAAGAGAGAUCACCCCCACAUCUGCUUUUUAUAAAGAGAAAUAAAAUGAAGAAGAAAAGGA